GUGAUCUUGAUCUAAAACUAAGAAUACUUAGUCCAAUCCAAAAUUUGUCCCAAAGUUUAUCAUUAGUUAGCUUCAAGCUAUGUCGUUCAUCUAAAUGACAUAUACAUACCGAAGAGUAAAAUUUGGAAAAAUGAGCUUAAUGAUCUAAAAAACACUUCUCAACAUGUGCAGUGCAGGAGUUCAACACAUAUUUUCAAGGAAACAAACUGUAGACGUGUAACUAAUAUGAUAUCGCAGAUAUGUGUGCAGAGCUAUCACUCCUGAAACCAUUGCUGGAAUCUUUAAUAUUCCCUCAAUUCCUUUUUGUUCGUUCUAUACACCCCUUAAUAAGUUUCUUACUCCUAUAAAACUAAAAGUAAUUUUACCAAUAGACCCUUAAUAAAUUUUAAACCUCUUUCCAAAUAAAUAAUGAUUACAUUUAUUAAACAAGGGCAUAAUAGGAAGAUUUUGUUCAAACUAUUCUUGAAAGAUUAAAGGAGCAAGUAUUUAGGAACAUAAGCACAACUCAAAUGGAGCAAAUAAAAAGGAAUGGAGGGAGUAUUUUUUUUUCUUCACAUAAUAGCAUUUUCUUCUAAGACCUUCUCUAAUAAGCAUUGUGCUUUAUGCAUAUGAAGUCACUAUAUUCAGAUAAUUGCUUACUUUCUGUAGAUACUAGCAUAUAAUAACCACCUGUUCCUAUACCCGGCAAGUCCCAGUCUGGACCAGGACUGGUCUGGUUCACAGAUUGACCCUUUCUUAAGGGCCUGUCCGAGCCAGUUAAUUUUGAAGAGUGGUGGGCCCCACACCAACUCAUGAUUCCUCACCAGUAACCACUAUGUGAUCUGCUAGCAGGCCAGUUAAGAGGCCAGUCCAAGCUGAUACUUUUUUAGUUCGUUCUAUUUUUCUUCUUUAUAUGAUUUUAACAUAAUAUUUAUGUAAUGUAAGCUAAAAUUUAAAAUUGAAGAACAUUGAAGAAAAAAUCGUAAAAUAAGCAAGUCAUAUUAUUGAGGGAACAAUUCAAAUUUUUACACUCAAACUAAAGUUAAUUACAGCACCUUAAGAAUCUCUUUGGCCUCCUUUUCUGACUUUCCAGAAACACCAGCUUCCACAAACAAGUAUUGUAUUGAUUGCUUAUAUGACCUGUAAGAAGAACCAAUAUCCUUUAGCAUCAGAUUUUAUCAGAACACUCAACUUCGCCAGUAAUCAUUAAUUGGAAAUAUUCAAUACGAGAACUCACAUUCUGUUUGUCUCGAUAGAAGAUAUGCCUGAAGGACCUCCAUUGAUGCACAGUUGAUAACACGUGAAUGGAAUGAUGGAGGCACACUUAACUCCUUUUGAGAAAACUCUUUACAUUUGGUUACAUAUGUAGACGAGAAGAAAGACACAAUAAUGGAUAGUAUUUUGCUGCACGUUGAAAUUUCUGGUCAGCUAAAAAAAUCAUGAGAAGCUUCAUCUUAAAUGAAGAAAAACUAGGAUUAUUUUUACAUCUCUCUCUUUUCUUUGUCUUCUUGACUAAAACAAGAGGGACAUUUUUAUCUUAUAAUCCAUUUCACUAACCUCCACAUAAGUCUCUCAAAAACAAAAACAUAUUUCUGGUGGUCAUCUCAGUGAGAAAACAAAUGUGUGGACAGCCAAGAUGACCACGCCUUAAGAUCGUCCUAGUGAAUUCAUAAGGAAAGUUUGUGACCAAUCCCUAUAUCCCUAAUACAAUUUACUAUGCAUUUCCGCAAGUGCAGACAUGGGAGAUGUUGUCUGUGAUCCAUGAAUCUCUCAUUGGAAACCAGAUCCAAGCUCUGCGGCUAGUCUGUGCUCUUUCGAAAGGACGAACACGACUGAAGUGGCUAUACAUACAAAUCUAUUUACGGGUUAGCGAUUUGGAGCUGACUUUCCUUCCCAUUAACAAAAUCUCAAAAAUGAAAGCAAAAAGAAAAAAGAAAAGAAAUAUCUAGCCUCUGAAGAUGAGAUGCGUACACAUCAAAUAGAGCAGUUAAAACAUGCUAAAGAAGGGGACACAUCAAAAAGAUCUGUUAAAACACGCUAAAGGGGAAUCAAAAGAUAUCACAGACCGGUGUAGAAAUGGCGGUUAGCAAAACAGUUGAUAAAUUAUCCAAGAGGCAUUGACAAACCAGAACGAAGGAAAUCAAUAAAGAUAAGAGAAAUAUCAGUAAUGAAGGGCCAGCAGAUUCUGAAAUUCAUCUUUAAAUGCCUCAUGAUACUUUCAAGUCAAAGCAAGGUUGGAUUAUCCAACAGAAUCCCUAAGCUUAAUUGAAUUACCUUCACUGUUAGAGACUGGUUAUAUAAUAGACAGUUACUCAACGCCAAGCAAUGUUCAGCCAAUUUUAAAAUGGCAGGUUGGUGUAUUUUCAGGGGGAAAAAAAAGAAAAGCAUGCUGAGACGGUGAUCCAAAAUCAAAGGCAAAUUGGACAUGACCAAGAAAAAUAUAUGUAUGUAUAUAUGUACAGAUAUAUACAUAUAUAUGUAUAUAUAGAUAAAUAUGUAUAUAUGUGUGUAUGUGUGAGUGUGUACAUAUACAUGUGUGUGUAUAUAUAGAUAUAGAUAUCAACAAUUAUUUUGCUAGGUCAUGUCCAAUUUGCAAAUAUAUAUCUAUAUACAUAUAGUAGUUAAUAGAAAUGAUGAUUCUAGUUCAAUCACAUACAAAGUUAUCAUGCAAUCAUUCAAAGAAUGUUCAAGAAGCGUAAGACCAGCAAAGUAAACUAGUAUAGUGUUAUUACUACUCAACAAGAGCGAAUGCAAGAGCAAUGAUUUUGUACUAUACCAGCAAAAUAUGAACACAAACAAGACGGUGCAUUAUUCAAAUUACUCAUCCUAAAGAGCCAAAAAUAAUUCUUAAUAAACACUAAUAACAAAUUCUUGAGCUAUGAAAUUGGUUACAAACCUUGCUCGCCUCUGGUAAAAUGUGGUUUCCUUCUUCAAAACGAAACUGCAUAAAUCGUUGUACCACAUUGUCAAACCUUUCAAGGAAGGAAGAAAAUGACCACAUUGUCUAAUAGUAAGAAACGCAUCAUACCUGUACUCAUCACUAAAUCCAUAUGCAAAUAUAAUAUCAGAGAAGCUCUCUAAUACCUUAAUAGCACAAGCAUUCAUCAAGUUCAAGGAUUUUUCAUCAUUCGACUUCUCAAAUCCAUGCUUCUCCGAAAAACUAAACAUAUAGAAUCCAAAUUAGAAAAUCAAAUACCCCAAAAACUCAUAACUCAAUACUUUUUUCUCGAGCAGUAGGGGUUGUUUGGUUCGCAGACUAAGUUAUCCCGGAAAUAUAUUCUGGGAUUAUAACCCUUGGACUAGUUAAUCCGCCUGGGAGGUGGAAUAAAAUAAUACCAAGUUGGAUGGCAAAAAGUGGAUAGCCCAGGAUUAAGUUAGGGAUUAAAUUUAUACUUUAUUUAGUUGAAGAUAUAAAUUUAUCUCGGGAUAAACUUAUAUCUUCAACCAAACAAAAAAUAAUUUUAAUCCCACACUUCAUUAUCCCAUGAACCAAACGACCGAGUAUAUUCACAAUAUCUACCAACACCGAUUGACAAGAAUCAGCACUCUACUUCUGCACCAGCACUUAACCUGAACACAGACAUAUACUUCAGUAGAAUUUUAAUUGGAGAUCUCUUGAGUUCAACGCCUUUAUCUUAAUUACAAAGUUAGGCUUCAAUUGCAGAGAGAUAAAAACACAAGAAAUAAAGGCAAAGGCAAACCACAAACAUCACAUUACCUGCCAAAGUCGCGGCCAUCAAUUUGAACAACAAUGAUAUUUGGGUACAUUACUUCAUCUUCCACCUCAAAACAUUUUACGUAUUCAUACUUGCUGUUCGCCAUCCCCAAAUGCCGCUACAAUCUGAUUGAAACAAAAGAUUGAUGUGGAGUUAGAAAUGUCAUGAAACCUAUUUUUCUCAUUGGAAUUGCAACAAACCUAUGUGGUGAACCUAGUUUGCAAGACCUUAUCGGCCCAUUCAGUGACCUCUCUUUUCAAAAGUUUCAAGUUGUCUAUUUUUUUUGACAUGCUCAAGUCUAAAUUCUAUUUCGAAUUUAAAACUAUAUUAACAAGUCCAUUAAAAUCACACUGGAAAGCAUAAAUAGGCAAAGGAUUGCAUUUGAAGGUCAAUAAACAAAAUGCUCUCCACCAUGGAAAAGACACAAGGAAGACUCAUCAGCCCAACAAAAUGAACUAGGAGGAGAAGAGACAAGACAAGGUUGCAGCUGAUGGCAGCAGCAACAAGAGCUAGAAAAGGUACAGGAGUUGACUAGGUAGGGCUGUAGGGUUGGGUGGAUGUGAGAGAUGACAUGGCUAAGAAGUAAGAAUGAUAAACUUCGGGUAGUAGAUAAAGGUGAGUUCGAUAUUUGAAGAAGUGAGAGCACCCCUCGAUUUAAGGUGGAUUUACCAUACAAUGAAAGAAACAAUGAGAAAUCAAGUUGAAACUGAGCAUCAACUGAGGGACAAAAAACUGAUUUCUAAAGAUAACCACCAUGACUAUGUCGCCAAUGAGAUUAACCGUGUAGACAAAUGGUCUUUACCUUCCCCUAUUGACCAAAGACAUUACGGAGUUGCUCUUGAUGCAACAAUUAAAAACUAUCAACCAAAUGCCAAGGUAAUUAUGAAGGGGAAGGUGACACUGCCUUACUUGGAAGCAGCUCGGGUUCACCAAACACUAAAAUGAUUACCAAUAAUGAUGAGGUUAAGGAGAGGAGGGGCGCAUGAACUUGAGAUGUAGGUUUCUACCACGGCUAUAAAUAGUAAAAGUCAUUUCAAAGGCCAAGGACCCUCACCUUCAAGUCUCUUUCGCAUCUCAAUUUUGUUUCGAUUGAAUUCAAUCUAUAUUACAUCCAUACUUAGGUUUAACUCAAUUCCAAUUUAAUUCAAUAAUAAAAUAAGAAAUUCUAUAACAAUGCUUGUCGAUUCAAUAUAAAUCAAUCAAAAUUAUGAUUCUCCAAUUUAUGUUACCUUCUCAAAAAAAUUACGAUUCUACAAUUCAAUAUAGUACGAUGAUAACCAAUAUUUGAUGAAAAUCAUGAUUAUUCAACCACUGUUUGGCAAAAGUAUCAUUCACUAUCGCACCGAGUUUUAUCCAUAAUUCUCACUCUGUAGGAAAAUCACGCCCCUCUAUCACCCACACACAAGCCAUUAAAAACUCUACAAUGCCUUCCAAAACUUAAGACAUCAGUCUACAAUAUCCAAAACCAUGUAGACAAACAUGAAUUCUUUAAAGCAAAACUGCAAACAGUUAAUUUGUUCAUGGAGCAAUAAAAGAAGAUAGCAGUUAGCGAACUAAGUACAUGACCAUUAGCGGUACACAUAGAUAUCAAGUUCCUUUGGCAUUGUAAGUAAGCAGCAAAUUAUUUUUAAGCAAUGAACAAACAUUAGCACCAGAGUGCAAAUGAAUUACUUCCAGAGAUACAACCGCGAGAACUAAAGAGCUACUUUUGUUCAUAGUGAUUAGGGAACCAACUGUCGUUCAACUAAUUAUAAACUUCCCUGUGCUAUUUUAAUCUUCUAUUAACCAACAGAAGCGCGAACCUUGUUGCAAAAGUAGAGUAUUGCUAGUAUAUACAGUCAAACCAAUCAAGAAGAAUGUUACUGAAGGACAACAAACAAGACAAUCUAUCUAAACAUUGUUUUAACAGUGCAUUACAAUACAAUACAAUAUAAAACUGUGGGGACACUUGGCCAUGAAAAUGUUGUGCUUUCUCCCGGAGUUGAAAUCCGGAAACCACGCUUGGCCAUAAAAUUCCGGAAAAUCUGGAAUUCCUUUCAGGAAUUUGAAUAGCAUCAAAAAGCUAUUCUCACUUUUUUCGCUCCAAAUUAUUCACAAAAUCCAAAACAAGACCAAUUUGUAUUCAUGGCCAAACACAACUCCAAUUUUCAAAUAUUAUUUUUCACUUUGAAAAAAACUACAUUUUUUCAAAUACUCACAAUUUUCAUGGACAAACACUCCGCAUGUGGAACAACAAUCCAAAAAGGCGCACCUCCCACCCUCUACUCUCCACCACUCACGACUCCAGGUGGGAGCCACUAAAAUUACACUGUUUAUACAUAGUUAAAAUUACUUUUCAUAUGUAUAGAGAGAGAGAAUGUUUAACCCCCCCUUUGGUAUGUUUGUGUAUCAACUUUUCAUAUAUUGAACACUGUUAGUGAGAGUAGUGACUCCGCCAUUGACAAUGAAAAUAUAAAAUAAAAAAAACCAUAACAAAUUCAAAGAUAACAAUAAUAGUAGUAGUAGAAUCCAUGUCAUGUAGCUCAACUUUAAACUAGCGCACACACUAUUUAGCUGAUUUGUUAUACCAAAUACAUUCAAAAGUAAACAUAGUUUCAGGCAGGGUGGAGCUGCACUUUGCCGAGGGUUAGGGUUAAAAUUAUUUUUUUUCACGUAUAUAAAGUAGAGGUUAAACCAUUAGUUCAUAUGUUAACGAAAACCCUUUUCAGGAUCUAAUAGUCAAGAAAAAAACGGAAAAAGAAAAAUAAUAUUGCAAAAACCUGAGACUACUUCGCCGGCAUACCAUGGGCAGUGGAAGGAGCACAUACAAGCUUAAUUAUUAAAUAAAAAAUAUUUUUAUAUUUAACUAAAAGUAUUUGAAAAUUUAUUUUUUAAAAAAAUAUAAUUUGACUCUUUAAAUAUUAAAGAUACUAAAUAAUGAAAUAUGAGAGUAAUUCUUUUUUCAGAUUUUUUGAUGAUGAAUUUUUUUGACAAAAAAUAAAAUUAUUAAUAUUUUAUGAAAUUUAGAACAAAAUAAGUAAUUUAACAUGAAAUAUUAGAAUUUCAUACACAUUUAAAAAUAUCAACAUAAAUUUGUUAACAUAUAUUUUUAGCAAAGAGAAACUAAUAAAGUUAAAAAAAUAUAGGCUUUUUAAUUUCUUUUGUAUGAUUUAAUAUGAAGGAAAAUAAUUAAACUAAAUAUUGUGAAGUAUAUUUUAGUAAACAAACAAUAUAUUUUUACAAACAAUUCAUUAUAUAUUAUUUUUAGUACCACAAACUAAACAAUCACUAAAAAAUAAUACCACAUAACUAAUCUCAACAUAGUUUAUCCCACCAUAACUAAUUCCUAUAUAAUUUGUUUUCAAACCCUAGAAUUCACUACUCUUUUUAACUAUUACUAUUAUCGGAUGAAAUGGCACAAAUGCCAAGAAAAUCACUAUUUGCCUAUUUUUGUAAUUAACUCAGUUAAAUAGUAGGAGUAGAUUAGUAACCUCAUAAAUUUUGAUUACCCAAAAUUUCAAACUUCUAAAUCACUUAAUUAAAACCACAAACUAUAUUCUGUCCCUUUUGUCAACAAAAAAAAAUCAUUUUUCGAGAUUUCACUCUCUAUUCAAUAAAUUUUUGUUGUCCACCCUCUCCCCUUCGUUAUUCUUCGAGAAAAGUAUCUAUUACUUUGAAUUUGUCAAAUUUUAUUUAUGAUAUAUCUAAACUUUGAUUUGUAUUAAGUAUUUUUAAACUUUUUUUUAGUAUAUCGCGUGGACCUUUUUGCUGAUGUGGCAAAAUGUUUAGAUUUCACACACCAUCACGCGCGUGAUAGAGUGAUUUUUAAGACAAAUCAGCCUUUUUAAUGGUUAAAAAAAAUGAAAAAAAAAAUGUUUUUCUUUAAUUUUUUCAAAAAAAAUCAAUUAUCCCUCUUGCUAUUUAUUUAUCCCUCUUCCUUCAUUACUUCCAAUCUAGAAAAUAAAAUUCAUCAAUUUAUUAAUUUUGUAAAACUCAUGUUUAUCUCUUAAUUAGUUUAUGUUAUAAAACUUUCAUCCGUUAAUUAAUUUUAUAAAAAUUUCAUUUAUUAAUCUAAAAAAAAAAAUUCAUCUGUUUAUUAAUUCAAUCUAAAACUCCAAUUUUCAUUUUUAUGAAACUACUUCAAUUUUGUAAUCUUAAUUAUAUAUAUAUCAUAUGAGUUAUUGUAUAUAAAGAAAUGUACUAAAUAUCGAAGCAGAUAUUUUAAAAGAUAAUAACAAAACAAAUACUAAAGAAACUAAUACACAUACUUAUAAUAAAGAGAAUGUAGUUAUAUUGAUUAUCGAUUUUUAGUCCCUAACGAUUUGAUUUUCGAUUUAACCGAUAAGAAAAUACUCAUAAAAUUAAAAAAGUAGUAACUAACAUGAAAAGAAACCAAAUCUUAGUUGCAACCAAAAUUCUACUUAUAUAGAGAGAGAGAAUGUAAAAUAAUAAUUUUGCAUAAACUUAUUGGGUUAUCGAUUUACCCAAUAAAAGAAAUCAAAAUCGAAUCAAUAACCCAAAAAUUUUUUUUUAUAAAAUCAUUAAAAAAUCGUUAACCCUAUAACGAUAAAUCAAUAACAUUUUUAUCAGCUUGAUUUUUGUACGUCCCUAACUUAAAUUACAAUUUCUUACUCCGUUAAUUAUACUAAGAAACGUAUUUGUGCAUGUGAGUCUCCUCAAAAUCCUAAUCGAAACACUAAUCGAAAACUACUAUGAAACAUUAACCGAAAAAAAAUAAUUUCAUAUUUUUAACACACACCAAAAAAUAUAAAUUUUUAGAUAAUAACUUACUUGAUCGAUGAAAAUUCAGUCAUUCAACAUUUUGGAGUAGAGUAAAACUUAAAAAUAUAAUUUUUUUAGAGAGAAAUCAGAUAAUUAAGGGUAGAAGAGGCUUAUUUUUCAAUAUAGGAUAAAUAUAAGGGAAGUGGAUGGUAUUUAUCCACGUGGACAACCACAUUAGCAUUUUUUUUCAUGUGUCCGCGCGUGUAUUACACGUAGUGGACUUUCAGCAAAAAGGGGUCACGCGACGUACUAAAAGAAAAAGUUCGGAGGGAUACUUAGGACUAGUAAAAGUUCAGGUGUACCAUGAAUAAAACUCGACAAGUUCAGGGGGUAAUGUAUACUUCUCUCUUAUUCUUCUUUUGAGUUAUCACAUACCGUUGUAUAAAUUAUUGCAAAAAAAAAAAUUAAUUUAAAUGAGACACAACCAACAAUAAUUGUGUGAGGCACCACUUAUUUUUUUUUACAAGUGUUUUGUAGUUUCAUUUUGUCAUUCAAUGUUGUUCUCCCUUAUUUCCUCAUAUUUCUUUUGUUCCGUUUUUGCACUUUUUUUUAGUAAACCAGAGAUUGCAUUAAUUAAAAUAAAAGAGUUUCAGUCCAGCUUUUAGCCUGGAUUGUAGAUCAUAGUUCAGGGGAUUUGAUCUGUGGUCUAAUUUAUUAUAUAUGUCAACCUCCCUUUCGAAGGUAGUUCUCUUGAUGUCUGCGUAAAAAGGUUUGUAGGCACACAUUGGAGGAACUUCAAAAAGUAUUGAUUCAGCCAAAAACUUGGAUUCUGCUCCUAGCUUGGCCAUUGCAUCAGCUACAGUAUUCUGCUCUCGAAAUACAUGCUUCACCAGUGGAUUUUCAAGUUUCAUUAGAUUUGACCUACAAUCAUCCAGGGUAGCAUUAUAAAGGAGAUUCCCCUUGGUUAGUAGUUCAAUUAUCUCCGUAGAAUCAAUUUCAAUUUCAAUAGGCAUCAAGUGUUGGGAUUCAAUAAUUUUCAUACCUUCAAUAAGUGCUAAAAGUUCCAUGUGGUUAUUAGUGGCCAUAUGGAAGCUUUUGGUGAAACCAGUGAACCAUUGGCCAUUGGCAUCUCUGAUGACGUCUCCAAUUCCCCCCUUCUCUGGGUUACCAAGGCAUGAACCAUUUGUAUUAAGCUUAUAAGCACCUACCUUAGGAGGGGUCCAUCUAAUCUGGAUGGUAAUCUUAAGUUUGGGGAGUUUUGAGUUCUGUCUCAAGAACUUGAAUUCAAUUUCCUCAGAAUAAACCUCGUAAUGAGAAGGUUUUUCCUUUUUGUGGUUAAAAGCAUUGUUGUUUCUGGACUUUCAGAUGGUCCAUAAACAGAAAGGAAGGAGCUCUUUCCAAUAAAGGAAGUGAUCGCAUUUUUUAUUCUUGAGGAGAAUCCAGGUAGAUCUCCAGCUGAAUGGGUAAAAGCUGUUGGGUGAGAGGGUGAGACUCUGGGUGGAUUUGUUGAGGAGGGUUGUCCAGAAAUCAUGAGUGGCAUUACAUUCAGAGAAGAUGCGUUUUAUGUCUUCAUGGUGGCUGCUACAGUAGUGACACAAGGGGUUGAUGUCUAUGCCUCUUCUGUGAAGAAUUGAGUUGGUUAGGAGACUAUUAUGAUGUAUCAUCCAGAGCAAGAAGUUUUCAUAGCCAAUUGAAUUCUUCCAUUUGAUUGGAGUUGGUGAUUGGAUGGUUCCUCUUAUUGGUAAUGAAGGAGUAAGCACUAGCACGGGUGAAUAUCCCAUUUCCAGUGAGGCCCCAAGUAGGAAGGUCUCUGUCUAACCUAGGGUUAGGCUUGAAGGUGAUGAUGAUGGAUUUUUUUAUUGGAGUAGGGAUAUCAAAGGAAAUAUUAUCAAACAUCCAACCUUGGUUAGUCCAGAUGUAGGAAAGUUUAAGGGUGCUUUCAGAUUCAGUGAGAGGCCCAUAGAGAAAAUGCCUAAGAGGAGGGAGAUGGGGAAUCCAUCUGUCAAACCAAAAACUUAUUUGUCCACCAUCAUGUGCCACCCAUUGAAUGGCUUUUUUGCAUAUGAGGUAGCCUUUAUAUAGGCUUUUCCAAGUUCUAGAGGAGUUUGGUUUACAAUGGUUGGUCCCAUUUUGAUAUUUGGAGCUGCGAAUCUUAACCCAAAGAGUAUGGGUUUUUUUUAUGAAUCUCCAGUCCAAGCUACAAAGAAGAGAUUUAUUUUUGGAGUCAUCUCUUUACAUUCCCAAACUGCCCUAACUUUUAGGAUGAGUGAUGAUGUCCCAGUUAAUGAGGUGCAUCUUUUUUUUAUCUGGGGAUUUCCCCAAAUGAAGUCCUUUUGAGCUUUAUCAAUAAGCUGCAGAGUUUUUUUGAGGAGAGUGAUGUACUGCAUUACAUGAUUUGGAAUACAACUCAGGAAAGAUUUAGCUAGAGUGGUUCUCCCAGCCAUAUUUAGGAAUUUGGUUUUCCACCCAACUAAUUUGGAGUUAAGAUUAUCUGUGAUGAACUGAAAGUCCCCAUGAGAGGGUUUCUUGUGGAAGAUGGGAAAGCCCAGAUAUUUUCCAAAAAACUCACUUGGUUUGAUAGAAAGCAUUGUGGCCAUGGAGUGUUUGUCAGAGGGGGUGCAGUUGGAGGAGAAGAUAACUUUUGAUUUCCAAUGUUAAUCUUUUGGCCCGAAUGGUAACUGAAGCUUUGAAGAGUAUUGAUAAUGGUAUGACAUUUUUUGGAGCCAGCCUUAGCAAAGAGAGUUAGAUCAUCUGCAAAAAAGAGGUGAGAGAUCUUGGGGCCUCUUAUGCUAGUUGAUAUGGGGUUCCAAUUGUGAGUGUCCACCUCAUGGUUUAUCCUUUUUUAUAGUAGUUCCAUACACAAUAUAAAAAUGUAAGGAGAUAGGGAUUUACCUUGUCUAAUCCUUCUGGAAGGCGUGAAAAAAUUUGUUCUACUCCCAUUCACCAGCAUAGAGAUGGAGGAAGAAGUGAUGCAAGACAUGAUAAGAGAGGUUAAGCCAGGGCAAAUUAAAAAAGUGAAGGGCUUGUCUGAUGAAAGACCAUUCGAUUCUAUCAAAGACUUUCUCCAAGUCAAUCUUAAGGAUCAUAUGAGCCCUUUUCCCCCUCAUUUUGGAGAAGUGGGUGAUGAAUUCCUUGACUAUGAUGGCAUGGUCAGAAGUUCUCCUAUUUGGUAGAAAGCUGGCUUGGCUUUGUCCUAUCAGGUUUUGCAAAUAAGGCUUGAUCCUGUUGGCCACAAUCUUGGUAAUUAUUUUGUAUCGAGUAUUGGAUAGGCCUAUUGGUCUGAAAUUUUUCAGAUUUGAGGCAUGGUUACACUUUGGGAUGAGACACAGGUAGGUUGCAUUGACUUUCUCUUUUAUGGAGAAAGGAGUAAAAGUCUGAUUACAGAAGUUGAUGAUAAAAUCUCCCAUGAUGUUCCAAUAUCUUUGAAAGAGGAGGGUGGAUGUCAUCAGGGCCAAGAGUUUUGGAGGGCUUGAAAGAGAAGAUAGGCUUUUAAAUUUUAGCUAUAGAGGGAAUAACAUCCAGAUAUUGGUGGUCCUCAGAGCUUAUAGAGCCAUGGAUAAAGGGGUUGAGUUGGUAUCGGAGUCUAGAAGAGUUAUGAUUAGUGGUGAAGAGGUUGGUAUAAUAAUGAAGGAUGGUGUUCCUGAUGUCUUCCUGACUUAAAACCCAGUUCCCAACAUCAUCUUUCAAAGAGUUUAUCCUAUUUCUCCUUCUUCUAUUAAGAGUAGAGAUAUAAAAGAACUUGGUAUUUGCAUCUCCCUCAGUGAGAUAGCUGAUCUUGGAUUUAAGUUUCCAGAAAUUAUGAUCAAGUCUGACAAGUUAGCUAAAAUCAUGAGAGAGUUUAUUUUCGAGCUCUUGGAGAAAGGUACUUGUAGGAUAUCUAGGAGAUUUCUGGAUCCCUGCUAAUCUAGCUAGUAGGUCUAUCUUCCUUCUAAAGAUGUUUCCAAAGGUAUUUUUAUUCCAGGCUGUGAUGUGAGUCUCAAAGUGGGAAAUAACACUGGUGAGGUUUGUGGAAUUGCCAAAGGAGUUGAGAACCAUGACAUUAAAGGUGGGGUGAGAACACCACAUAGUUUCCAUUCUAAAAGUCUUAGAAAAGAUUUUAUGGUCCCUGGUAAUAGUGAACAGUAGGAGGCAGUGACAGAGUGGGUUCUUGAGAAGUGAGUAAUAGAGGUUUCAGGAAAGAUGUCAAGCCACUGAGUGUUGGCCAGGCAUCUAUCAAGCCUUUCAAGAAUGAGAGCAUGCAUGUUUCUGUAUCUUUUAUUGGACCAAGUAAAUUUACUACCCUUAAAACCAAGAUCGACAAGAUUGUUUUUAUUAAUGCAGUCCCAGAGGAAAGAAGCCUUGUGGGUGUUGAUAUUAUUGCCUCCAAACUUCUCAGAGGCUUUUAGUACCUCAUUGAAGUCUCCCUCAAUUUUCCAUGGACUGUCGGAAUGGUUGUUGAUGGUAUCAAAAAGUCCACAAUUUGGUUCCAAAGGAGCUUUCUAUCUUCUAAAUUAUACGAACAUAAACAACAGUGAAGAACCAGGUUUAUGGGGGAUUGAGUACCUGGACAAUGACAUAGAGAGCCUGGGGGAGAUGGAAAUAUCAGUGAUAUUUAUGGAGAUAUCAUUCCACAUAAUCACAAGUCCUCCAAAAUUUCCAUUGGCAGGGUAUUGGAUUUUAUGAGUAAACCCCAGAUCCUCAGUGAUGGUUUGGUAAUCAUUCAUUCUAGUUUCCAAGAGAGGUAGGAUGGAAGGCUUGUGGAUAUCCAGCAUUAAUUUGCAAUGCCUCCGAAACUUAGGAUUGUUUGCCCCUCUAGUAUUCCAUAUGAGAUAAUUCAUUAGGAAAUUUGCUUGGUGAUAAUGGGGAUCCACCAUGGUUUCCUUCCCCUUCUCCCCAAUUUGUGGGGGUGAGGUGUGUAACUGGUUCUCCAAAAUCAGUGUUACUGGGGUCAUUUUGGUAAUGAAGAAAUGUUAUGUCAGAGGACCUGAUAGAGAUAUCUCUAAGGUGAACUUGAGAAGAUUGAGGGGUAGUAUUAUGAUUUUCAUUUCGUUUACUACCUCCUUGAAUUUUGAAGUUAGUGACUUUUCUAACACUAGCACAUCUGUUCUUGGAACUCUAAGGUAUGCAAGAAUCAUUUUCAUUUCUCUGUUGUUUUCCUUGAGAGAUUUGAUGGUUUCCUCCCUCUUCAUUAUUUCCAAUGUUAGUUUAAGUGGAUUGGUUGGGGGGUCAUAAUGUUUGAGGUCUCCGUAGACACCCUCGUAAAGAAUGGGCAUGUCUUCAGUAUCCCUGGAAUUCGUUGGGGGAAGAAUGAGAGUAUUGAGCUGGUUUGGUCCAUCAUGGCAGAAAAACCUGUGGAGUUAGACCCUCCAUUGAGGUUACAUUUGGGAAGUUCAUUAGAGUGGAUUUCAAAAUGUUCUGUUUGUAUCUCUGCAGACCUUGAUAUAGCUCUUCUAUUACUAGUUGGGCUAGGAAGUGGGGGUUUUGGAUUAUCAAGAUGCAUUGUCUUUAUUCCAUUUGGAUUCUCAGGACAACAGCCUGGUUCUCCAAGUUUAUUUCCAACCAUGAGGUUGGUAGAUGAGAGGGGGGUAGCGGAGCCGUGUGAAAGAUGAUGGUAUUCAUGUGUGGAUUUCGAGGAGUAGGGAUGUAAAGAAGUGUUGGAGAAGUGAGAAAGUUUAGAAGGUUUGCCCUCUUUAGUAAGUUGGAGAAGUGUUUUUUGAGGCACUGCAACAGCAGACAUAGGGGUAUCAACCCCUUUAGGGUCAGAGGGUAAUGAUGAAUUAGAGUUGGAUGAGACAUUAUACUUCCUCUCCCUGGUGGCAGAACUAUCAGGUUGAUUGUUAGACUUGGCCGCCGUUUGGGAUUGAGUUGGAUUUGGGAUCGCAGGAUCCCGAGGUAUGACUUUUUGGUUAGUCAUAAUUUGAUUUUUUGAAGGGAUUUCCUUGGAAGUGGAUCCCUCAUUUGACCCAUGUUAUGAGGGUUUGUAAAAGGUUUGGGUCUUCCUUGUUCUUGUAGGUUGAGGGCCUAAAACCAUGGACCGUAGAAAUAGUUCUCUUUUUUGUUGGGCCUGCUUUGUGAUUGGGCCUCGUACCUUCCGUGUUGCAAGUAUUGGGUAGGUUUUUUUACUAGCAGCGCAGCUCGACUCGCCGGCGGCGGGUUGCUGCUUACUAGUCUGUGUCGUUGCCUGAGAGUUUUUGGGGUCUAGAAACUUACUCGUAGGGGCAUCAUAGUACUUGACCUUAACUGGAUUUUGUGGAUAGAGCGUACUUCUUGUUUCAGCGUGCUUGUCCGAUUAAAACGUUUUUUUUCUUUCUUAAAGUGGACAGUCUUCCAUUCGCUGGGUAUGUCUUUUCUUGUUGAAUUCAUCGUUGAUGUUUCCGUUUAGGUGGCCUUUUGGGAAAUUAUGUGUGGGCAUGACCCAACAGUGUGUCCCAAUCUCCGGCAUACUUUGCAGAGAAUUCCUUCGCCUUCGUAGACGAUGUCUUGGUGAUGAUUUUCAAUGGCAAUGGUUGUUUUGAGAAUUUUUUCCACCGGGACCUGAUCAUAAAUUCUAGCAUAUCUUCCUCGAAGCGCCGACGACGUGCAUGUGUCGAUCUUGACUAGCUUACCUAUUUUUCUACCCACUUUCUCAAGAAUGGUGAGAUAGUAGUACUCCGAUGGUAACUGAGGGUCUGAGCCAAAUUGUCGUAGUUUGGAUCUUUGAUUCAGUUGGAACGAAGUCAGGUUCCCAAACGCGUACUGUUAGGAAGGAUCCUGCGAAGAACCACGGACCCUCCUGUAUUGCUCUUUUUUGGAUUUCCUCUUUAGAGAGUUUGACAGUGAAGAAGCCUUGUCCUAGAUUAAUGAGGAUGAUAUGUUCCGAUACUUUCCAGAGAUCUGUGAUUUUCUUAUGGAGGAAUUGGUGAUUAAUUCUCCUCCCCAAAACCUUAACUAUGACAGAGUGCCUCCAUGGCUUAUAGAUCCGUUUCUUAUCCUCAAUUGAUAGUAUAAUUGGUUCAUCAUUUCAUUAGAAAGAGAUGGGAUAUUAGGACCUUCAAGAAGCGUAUUGAAAGUCUUUUGGUUUUCAUUUCCUUUUUCUUUUAUUGCAUCACAAUAUGAUGUUUUAGAAUUGACAUCGAUUGUCAUUUGGCUGCUGAUAUCUGGAGGUUCCGGCGGUGAUGGAUCCUUAUUCGGUAUUGUGUGUGGGUUUAACUCGCUGGGAAUUUGGGAACACCGAGGGAGAGGCUUUCCUCUCUCUAGAAUUCUCCCCACAUUUGAAUAUAACUUUCUUAUAAAAAUGUACUCGUUUUUGCACUUCACUAAUUUACCUAUUUUCUUUCUUUGCUCUUAAUAAUACUUUUCUAUUUUUAUUUUCUUUCUAUUUUAUUUACUUGAUCUCUAUAUUAAAUAUUUACUUAUCUAUUUUCGUAAAUCAAGAGUAUUUAUUAAUUUGUUUUUUCAUAUUACCAUUAGUAUUAACUAAGUGCAUCAAAUAGUAUAAUACUUGUUUACUAUUAACUUGACACACAAGUUAAGAAAUAAUAAAUAAUACAGAUAAUGUUACCAUAUCACCUUUUGAAUAUAGUUAAUUUAUUGCUUUAAAAAAUAAUCGAAUAAUGAAUAUUAUUAAUAUCAAUGAUAAAAUGAAUAAAAAUGGAUAAAUUAUUCAUUAGUUUUCAAACUGUACAAGUAUUCUUGGACAUAUUAGUAUAAUAACAUUGUUGGGCGAAGGAGAAGUAGUCAAAUUUAGAGUUUUAAAAUAUUAUCAAUAAAGUUAAUUUAAUCAUACAUCUUUAAUUAUUUUUUUAAAGGGAUGAGCCAAAUCAAGGAGCCAAGUAAAAUAAAACAAAAGAAAUAUCUCAAUCAUUUCCUAGCUUUUUUUCAUAUUCCUACCUAGGGUUGGGCAUAAAAUACCAAAAAUCGAAUUACCGAACCGAAUCAAAAAAUUUGAUAAUUGAUAUUCGAUAAUUUGAUAUUUGAUAUGGUAUUUGGGAGUAAAAUUUUAAUAUUUCAGUAGUCGGAAUUGGGUUUGGUACAAGAUAUUAAUACCGUUUAGUAUUCGGUAUUUACCAAAUAUCAAAUAUAUAUAUAUGUAUACACACAUAUAUAUACAUAUGUCCAACCCAACCCAAUAGACAAAAUACUAGUAAUCUCAAAGAAUCUCUUGGGCCUUGGUAAUAUAUUCGUAAAAAGCAAAAAAAAAAAGAAUAUUAAAUAGAGUUUCUAUUAAAUAUGCUCUCUGAAAUUUAAACGUAUAUUUGCAUAUCUCCAACUUUAAUAUGGUAUUAUCAAAUACCGUACUGAACCAAAGUUUAAUUUAUCGAUUACCGAACUACUGAACCGAUGUUUAUAAGUAUGGUAUGUGGUAUCUAUGUUCAAAUACCAAUUACUGAAUUACCGAACCCGAACUUUGAAAAUAGCAAACCGAAUACCGAACGCCCACUCCUACUCCUACCAAGAAAAUUUAUCAAUAACUUAGUUGAAUUUUUCUUUUCGAUUAAUCGUUGAGCCCCUCAAUUAAAAAGUGUCCAUGAAAAUAGUGAAAUGCAAAAAUGGUAUAUUUGUAGAUAGAGGUAUUUAUAAAAAAUUAAAUUAAAAAUUGAUAAAUCUCUUUAAAAAAUUAAUUAAUAUAUAUAAAUUUUAUGAUACAUAUUAAUAUUUUAUUUUUUAUUUGUAAUAUAGAAUUUAAUUGUUAUAUUGAUAUUGCACGUAUCAUUAAAAUUGUAAGCUACGGAAGUCUAAAAUAUUACACCCUGUCUCCCUCCGUUUAUUUUUAUUUAUCUAUUUUUCAAUAUUGAGAUGUCUAACAAUACUUGUUUAAUUUAUAAAAUUAAUGAUAAUUUAUUUAUUUUUAUUCAUUUUACUUAUAUGAAUCAUUAUCUAAUGCAUUUUCAAAAGCAUUAAAUUUAGGGAUAACUACAUAUUUUAGCAAACAUGGACUUCUAAUUACCCUAUUUAGCCUAAGGUUCAAUUAAUUAUAAUCCAUAGCCCCUCUUUCCUAUUAAUUAUUCCUAAUUACAAUCUAUAGUUUUUCUCAUGUAUUUUCUCUCUUUUUCUAUUUUCUAUUAUUCUUUUUUUUUCCCUUUCCAGUUUUGUUUCUUCAGUUUUUCUUUUCCUUUUUUUGUUGUUUUCUCUUUAUUUUUUAUCACUUUUUUAUUUUUUAUUCAUUUUUUUAUUUUUCAUUUUUUUCCUCUUUUUUCUUCUUUUUUUUUUUUUGUGUUUUUUCUCUAUAUUCUAUUACUCUUCUUUUUUUGUAUUUUUUUUCUCCUUCCUUUUCUUUCAUUUUUUCUCCUUCUUUUUUUCUUUUCAAUUUUUCUCCUUCUUUUCAUUUGUGCGAUUUAGCAAAUACAAAUAUAAGUGCGAACUAUAAAAUACAAAUAUAAAUGCGAACCAUAACAUACAAAUACAAGUGCAAACUAUAAAAUACAAAUUCAAAUGUGAACUAUAGCAUAUAAAUACAAGUGUGAACUAUAAAAUACAAAUACAAUGUGAACUAUAACAUAUAAAUACAACUGUAAACUAUCAUUUGUAUUUUUUAAUUAUUGAAAAGGAACAAUUGAUUUUCUUUCUAUGAAUACUUGUUUGUAUUUAUUGAUACUAGUUGUAUUUAUUUAUACAAAUAAAUACAACUCAAAUUUUUAUAAAAAUACAAUAUAUACAAAUACAUAUUGUCUUUGUAUUUGUAAAAUCAUUUGUUUCAUUUGUUUGUCAUUGUAUUUGUAUCAAGUGAUAUUUGUUUAUUUACAAAUAUGAAUGAUAAUUUUGAUAUACAAAUACAAAACGGUACAUUUGUAUCAAAUGAUACAUUACAUAUUUAUAAAUUUUAAAAUCAAGAAAAUAUAAUUAAUGCAUUUACUUGUUUGUAUACAAAUACAAAUAAUAAACUGUACAUAGUCACGGUUAAAUACAAUAUUCAAUCAACUUACUAAUACAAAUACAAAAUAAUUUUCUUAAAAUAAAAAGGUAUCGACGAAAAUAGAAUACAAAUACAAGUAUAAUUCAAACAUAAUCUAAAUAUACAAACACAAUAAAAUCAUAAUAUAAAUAUAAUCCAAUAUAAUAUGCAGUCAAUUAUAAAAUACAAAUACAAAAUAGUUUUGUAAAAUACAAGUGCAAAUUAUAUAAAAUAUAAAUAAUGGCGCAAACUAACAAAUACAAAUACAAGUGCGAACUAUUAAAUACAAAUACAAAUGCGAACUAUAAAAUAUAAAUACAAGUGUGAACUUUAAAAUACAAAUACAAAUACAAAUAAAGUUGUAUCAAGGAAUACAAAAAUAAAAUGACGGUGUGACUAUAAAUAGGAUAAACAAUUGCGUUAUUUACGUUAUCAUCCAUGACUUGUACUCGACUAGUCAUACUUUUUGAAAAUACAAAAAAAUAUAAAAUAGAACAAAAAAAUGAUAAAGAAAAUAAGUACAAAAAUAAAAAAUAAAAAAAAUCAAAGAAGAAAAGAAAAGAAGAAAGAGAAAUAGCAGUUAGAGAUUAAAGAGAGAGGAAAAAAAGAAAAAAAGAAAAAAUAGAAAAAAGAAGAAAAAAAAAGGUGAAAAACACGAAAAAGAAAAAAAUAUAUAAAAAAAGAUAAGGAUAGUGUUAGGAAAGAAAAUAUUUAGUUCAACGAGAUAAACGUGAUUGCGAGUUUUUUCUUUUUAAAAAUAUUGAAUUCCAUUUUUGGCGCAACUAAAUAGGGACUGUAUUUAUAUUUUAUAUGAACUAAUUUAGGUGCACGCGCUUUGCGCGUGUACCUCAAUUUAAUGAGUUUAAAUAUUACACUAAAUAGGAUAUUUAUUUAAAUAAUAAAUAUGAAUAUAAUAAUUAAAUUUAAUAUCUUUUGAGUAUUUAAAGAUGGAUAAUUUAUUUAUUAAACUUAUUUUUUAUCAAAAAUAUUUUUAAAAGUCUAUCUACAUUAAUCUACCAUCUGUAAAUUUCAACAAAAUAAUACAAUGAUAGAGACAUCAAAAUAAUACAAUUAAAUCUAAUCUUUACAAAUAAUUUUUUUUUUUCAAAAUCCUCCGAUACUCAUCUACCACCUAUAAACAAUAAUAAAAUAAUACGAUAAUAGAGAUAUCAAAAUAAUACAACCACACCUAACCUUUACAUAAAAAAAUUUCUCAAAGUCGACCAACAUUUAUCUAUCUCCUAUAAAUUGCAACAAAAUAAUACAAUAAAAGUGAUAUCAAAAUAAUACAAUUAAACUUAAAUUUUACACAUAAAAAUUUCUCAAAGCCGAUGAGAUUCAUCUAUGAACUAAACUACCACAAAAUAAUAAAUUAAUAGAGAUAUUACAAUAAUACAAUUAAACCUAACAUUUACCUAAAAAGAAUUUCAAAGCCGACUCACACUCAUUUAAUAGUUAUAAAUUAAAAUAAAAUAAUAAGAUAAUAAGGAUAUCAAAACAAUACAAUUAAACCUAACUUUUACACAAGAAAUUCUUUAAAGUCAACCGACAUUCAUGUACGACCUAUAAACUAUAAGAAAAAAUAUAAUAGUGAUCACAAAGCUUCAAUUUUGAUCCAAUUAAUUAUUGUCUGAGUGAAAAUUUUGACCCUAAAGAAUGAUUUUGAAUAUAUAUAUAUAUAUAUGCUGACAAAAUAGUGAAGAAGUUAAGGGUUGGAAAAUCAAGCAUCCACCAAUCUAGACAUGCAAUCGAAUCAAGUUAGAUGAGCAUCAAUCAUAUUCUCCCAAUAGGCAAAUCGGUUUAUUCUCUAGUUUAAUGUACAUCUCAAUAUUUAUAGAAGUAUUUCCUUAAUAGAGUCCUAUUUUAGGUGUAUUUUUCUAAUUGAACAAUAAAAAAGAAAAUAUUAAUUAAUUCUCAUAUCAUAUAUUUUAGGAGUCCCAUGCAUUUUAGGAAGUUUAGUAGAAGGAAAAUAUUAAUUAAUUCUCCUACCAUAUAUUUUAGGAGUCCAUAUAUUUUAGGAAGUGCUCUCUACUUCUCUUGAGGUAGUGGUAUGGUCGUACACUCUACCCUCCCCAAACCCCAUUAGGUGAAAAUUCACUGGGUAUGUUGUUGUUGUUGUAUAUAUUUUAGGAAGUCUAGUUAAUAUAAUAAAAGAUAAUUAAAUAAUAAAUUUUAAAAAAUAAUGAAAAGACAAUUUAGUCUAAAGAAGAGUUUUUUAAUGAAGGGCAAAAAAUUCAAAUAAUUUUUUUAAGGGUCUUCACAUUUUAAUAUAUUAUAGAUUAUAGAUUAUAGAUACAUACUAUCUGUAAAAUCGAAUACAACGGGCGUAAAUCGAAUACAGCGGCUAUAAAUGGUAAUUAUGUAAAAUGUGGCUAUGGAAGAUGGUUUUUAUAGCAAAGUGCUGCUAUUUUAGAAAAAUUCCCUUAAAUUUACUAUGUUCAAAAAGUAAUAUGAUACUUAUCUCAAUAAAAAAGUGGAUAAAUAAAGAUAGACAGAGAGAGUAACAAAAAAACAUAAACCAAAAAAAAGUCGAAGAAGAUAAAAUUUACAACAAUAUUGAGAAGAUAAAAUUUACAACAAUAUUGAUCUGUUUAUCUCUAUUUAAUUUUGAUAAAUGAAAAUCAAAACUAAAAAUUAAAAAAAAAAAAAAGAGAAAGAAAAUAAAAUACUCCAACAUGAUAAUUAUCUGUGCCAACAAGCAAAAAAAAAAAAAGAAUAUACAUGUUUGCAUGGAUUAAAAGAUGACUCGAGGGGAAAGAAAAAGAAAAGUAAUGAUAUAGAGUGGGACCCACGUGUCGUUAUUUAAUUUUUCACUUUGCCACAUCAUUAGCGUGUGUAUUAUACGUAUUUUACAAUUUUUGCCACAUCAACAGAUUAUGCUUAAUGGAAAUAUUUUGUGAAGGAGUAAAGAGUUCAAUAGGUACAUGGCCUAAUUGAGAUGCUUAUACGGAAAAAGACGAAUAGUUGAGGGGCCUGUAUAUAUUCUUCCUUUUUUUUUGGUAUAAAAGAGCCAUAACUAGGACGAUCAAGGACAAAUUUGUCAAUUAACAAAAAUCUAACUUAAACUUAUUGUACAUCAUUCAAAAAGUGGGAUUUUUUUUUUUUUUUUUAAAAUCAUGUUCCAGAAAAUUCUAAUGACUAUGCUUUGAAAAAUUUAAGAAAAUCAAGUGAUAUCUUAAAGAAGUGGGGCCCAUUAUUUUUCUUUGAAAGGUUAUGGAGAAGUUCUUUUCUUAAAAUUUCUUUAUCUAGUAGCUUCAAAAUUCAUGAUCAUACACUUUUUUUUUUCUUAUUUAUUUAAAUAAUAUACUUGAAUCAAAUGAAAAGAAUAAUUUUAAAUUUAAAGAGAAAUUAUAUUUGAAGUUUGUUUCAUUUAAAUAUUUUUUUAAUUUUAAUAUUCAGAUAAGUUUUCUUUCCCCUCAUCCAAAACCACAGCAUAAACAUUGUGAAGUUUUUUCAUGUAUCUUAAAUUCGAUGUCUCAUCAAAGUUAUAAAAAUUCAAAAUAUUGAAAGACAUAAUUUAUAAGUGAAUGUGUAAAUACUCACAUAUGUUUCAUAAAUAAUAAAAAAGUAAAAUUAAAUUUGGCCACAUAUUUAAUCACAUAAAGUAGUUAUUACUAUAUUAUAGUAAAAUAAAAAAAAUACUCAUAAUUAUUGAAUAGGCGUGUAUCUAUCAUACACAAUAAGUGAAUACCUCCAUAAUUUUAAAACUUCACUUGAUACAUUACAUUACAAAGAUCUACAAUACAUAUAAAUUAUGGAAACAUAAUUACUUACUAAUCAUCUAUUAAAAUUAUUUUAAACAACUUAUUUAAAAUGUAAUAUUAACUACCUUAUGUUAAAUUACUACAAUAUAUAUCAUGUUAACUUUUGUUAAUUCUUUAGAUUUUUCUUAUUUAAGGUAGUAAAUUUAGAUAGACAAAUCAUUUUAAAAGAAAUUCCUUGCUUACUAUAUUAAAUUAAUUUUCUAUUUUUGACGUAUAUAAGACAAGACAUAAAAGCAAUCUUUUAACAUUAUGAUUCAUUAAAACUUUCAUCUAUGUCCUUAUUUUCGUUUGUUAAACACACAUGAAACGAAUUUAAAUGUAUUUAAAAUCAAUUUAUGUAUGGAUUAGUAUUAUUUAUUACUUCAUAUGAUUCUAUAAAAAAAAUGCUAAUAAAUAGAUAUUUAUAACUUUAAUCUAUUCUCUUGUAUAGUUUUUAAAUAAAGUAGAACAUUAAAAUUAGUUGUUUAAUAUAAGAGAAUGUGUUUGAUCUAAGCACUAGAGUGUAGAUUGUAUGGUAUUUUAUUAUAUUUAUUCAAAAAUAUUAAUAAUUAUUUUUUAAAAAAUAAUUAAAUAACUCUCUAUAUAUUUAAAAUUGUAAUAUUGGGCCCGUAAACGGGCCCUUCAUUAUCUAGUUGACUUGUAGAAAAGGUAAGUGGUCUGCACUUGUCAAUUACUCAUAAGUUAAUUAACAGAAUAAUAACAUAGAACUUUUUUUUCUUUAGUGUUCCCUCUCUUCUUCAAAUAUUUUAUAUUCGACUUAACAUAGCUAAAAGCACUCAAAAUAAGUCAUUUUAAACAUAUAUUGGAUUUGUAGAAUUAACAAAAUAUAAAUUACUUCUUCGUCCUAAUUUAUAUGAGUUACUUUGACUUGACACGAAUUUAAAAAAGGAAAUUAAACUUUUGAAAUUUGUGACCUAAAUAAGUGUAGAUGUUUGUGUAACCAUAAAUCAUUUCAUAAAGGUAAAGUGGGUAUUUGAAAGUUAAAUUGUUACUAAAUAAAAAAUAUGUCCUUUUUUUUAGAAUGAUUAAAAAAAGUGAGUCAAAUAAAUUAGGACAGAGAAAGUACAAAUCAUCCUAUAUAUAUGUGUGUGAUUGUACAAUUGUAAUCUUAAAAUAACUAUUUAUAUAGUUUAUUUGGUAUAGAUUCACGUUUUUAACAUUUUAAAAAGUUCACAACUAAAUUAAGUCUCGCAAAUCAAUAAAAAAAUAAAUCGAGUCUCAAAUUGUCAUGACUUUACUUUUCACAACUAGUUAACUUCUAAUUGAGAAUUAUUGAUUCAAUCUAUGUUAGUGUUGAAUUAAGUAUUAGUUUGCUACGACUAUAGUCAACAUAAUUAAUUGACUUCUAAUUGGGGUAUAUUGAUUCAAUAUAUAUUAGGAACGAAUUGAUUCUCAAUUUAUCAUAAUUAUAGUCAACAUAAAUAGUUGACUUCUAACUGACGAAUGUUGAUUCUAUCUAUAUUAUGACUAAAUUGAGUCUUAAUUUGUCAUGAGUAACGUUAACAUAAAUGUUUGACUUUUUUUUUUUUGUAAAAUAUUAAUGAAAUUUAUAUUAGAAUUAAAUUAAGUCUCAUUUUGUCACGAUUAUAAUCAAUAUAAAUGUUUAGCUUCUAAUUAAAAAAUAUUGAUUCAAUCUAUAUUAUGAUUAAAUUGAGUCUCAAUUUAUCACGAUUAUAAUCAACAUAAAUAUUUGACUUCUAAUUGAAAAAUAUUACUCCAAUCUAUUUUAGGACUCAAUUUAUCUUGACCAACGAUAGUUAACACAAAUGGUUGACUUUUAAUUGGGGAUUGAAUUGAAUUUCAAUUUGACAUAAUUAUAGUCAACAUAAAUGAUUUACUUCUAAUUGAAAAAUAUUGAUUCAAUCUAUAUUAGGAUCGAAUUGAGUCUCAAUUUAUCACGACUAUAGUCAAAAUCAAUGAUUGACUUCUAAUUGGGGAAUAUUGAUUCAAUUCACGUUAUAAUUGAAUCAAGUUUCAAUUUUUCACUACUGUAGUCAACGAAAAUACUUGACUUCUACUUCAGAAAUGUUGAUUUAAUCUAUAUUAGGAUUCAAUCGAGUCUCAGUUUGUGAAUCAUAUGAAUAGAUAACACAAUUGUUGGCUUCUAAUAACUUAAUUUCACUUCUCAAUUGAUUUCUAAUAAGAUGGAGUAAUAAUAAUAAUAAUCAAAUAUUUGAUUUGAGAUGUUUUUUUGAGUUCAAUUUCGAUCAACUAUUUAAAAAUUUAAGUGAAAUAAUAUGAACAUAUUUUUUUAAUUAACCUGAUUGUUGACUUCUAAUAACUCAAAUUCACUCUUAUGUUUAUUUAAGAUUUACUUUUACGAGAUGAAGUAAAAAAUAAUUUAAGAAGAUAUUAGAUUUGAAAUUUUUGUAAGCUUAAUUUUGACGAAUUGUUUAUAUAUUUUUCAGGGGAAAUAUAUAAAAAUAUUUUAAUUUUUUAGUCAACACAAUGGUUAACUUCUAAUAACUUAAUUCCACUCCUAUGUAUAUUUUUAAAAUGAAAAAUUUUUAGAAAAUAACCCAACAUUUAGUCAAUUGGGGAAGCCCAUACCUAACUUUCAAAAUUAUCAUUUGUAGCCAAUGUAUCAACAAUAUGCAACCGACUCUAUUCGAUAUAAAAUAUAAAUACAAUGAGAGUAGGGUUUAUGAGUUAAAAGUGACAAAAUAGUUUUAAAAUGAGGUGUAAGUGACUCAAGUUUUAUUAAUUGAGUGUAGGUGACAAUUACUUUAUUAUGAAUUAAGAAAGUUGAAAAAGUUUGAGAAUAGCUCACGUGUGUUUUAAUUUACACUUUAAUCCAAAUGUAAAACCUAAUAUAAUAGAAAACAGAGGAAAAAAUGCGUGUUUCUCUCUCUUUUCAUUCAUCGUUGUUUUCUCUCUCUUCGCGAUUUUUGUUGUGCAUUGUUGCUGUUGCUUCAUUCAUCAUCUUCUGCUUCAUUAUCAUCAUUUUCUUCUUCAUUAUUAUCAUCAUAUUCUUUUUAUUGACCAUUAUUAUUGUUGUUACCGCUACUGCUGCUACUUGACCAAUUUUUUAGAUCAAAUUUUGUUUCGUACAUCACUUUGGCAUUACUUCAUAGGUGACUUUGGUAAGUAAAAUUAUAAUUUUUAAUUGAAUUUAUCAUUUGGGUACACUUCUACUGUUGUUUUUUCAACAUUGGAUAGAACUCAAACAUGAAUCCAACAUAAGAGGCAUCUGUUUCAAUAGAUGACUCGUCUGUUGCAAUGAAAGACUCAUAUGUUGGAUUCAUGUUUAUGGUUCUAUAGUGUUGUAAUAUGAAUCUAAUAGAUGGGUCAUCUGUUGCAACAAACGAGUUAUUUAUUGCAAUAGAGGAGUUAUCUGUUGAACUAGAUUACUCACCUAUUGAAAAAAAAACUAAAGUUGACUCCAACAGACGCAUCAUCUAUUGCAACAAGUGAGUCAUUUGUUGCAAUUCACCUAUUGCAACAGGUGAGUCAUUUGUUGCAAUAUGUUAGUUAUUUGUUGCAAUAUGCCACUCAUCUGUUGGAAUCAGCUUCAAAGGUUCUUUAAUACUGUAACAGCUAUCCUAACAGAUGAGUUAUCUGUUGCACCUGAUGGAUAAUCUAUUGCAACAGAUGAUUCACGUAUGCCAACAGAUGACUCAUCUGUUGGAAUCAGCUUUAGGUUUUAUAGUACCGUAACAUAAAUCCUAACACGUAAGUCAUGUGUUGCAACAAAUUACUGACAUAUUGCAACAUAUUAUUCACCUGUUGUAACAAAUUACUUAUCUGUUGGGGUUCAUAUUACAAUACUAUAAAAUCAUAAUUAAUUUUAUUAUCACAUCAUUAUUAACUUUUUUAACAAAUGUCUUUAUCUAGGUACCACUAAUGCAAGGAUCAAUAACAAUAGCGGUGGAUUGUCAUAGUGAAUAGAUCGAGAAGAGCAAUCAAUAUGUAUGUCGGUGGAAAGAGGGUAAAAUGAUAGAGGCGAUAACUAAGAUAGUCCAAAAUAAGAUUUCGUAUGAUAAUUUUGUGAACUUAAUCAUCAGCUAUUAUGGACUGAAUUGUCAACUGAAAGAACUCGUCAUUAGCUACAUGCACAACUCAUUUGAAAAUCAGAGGGCCCUACCUUUUAAGAUAACCGAUCAGAUUCAGUUAUGUGCUUAUCUGAGUGAUUUAGCUAAGCCAGUGUUAAGGGUGUACGUGGUUGAAAAAUUGAGAGAGAAAGAGAACCAGAAUAAAGAAGAAGAACAAUAACAAGCCAUGUUUGAUGAUAAGUUGGAUAAUCUGGACAUGAGUAUUCCAGAUGAUGAUCAAACACUUACACCCGUUACAAUCAACACAUUCAGGUAAUCAUCAAGAUGAAGAUACUGGUUUUACAAGGAAAUGUAAUUCAAGAAUAAGAUAGAACUAUCUACUUCUUUGUUUAUUGCUUGAUUGAAAAAAGAUUGUAGAGUAAAGAAGGUGAUUAAUUCGAGCAAAAUCUUUUCUUUUAGAUGCGUUAAUCCGAACUGCAAGUGGUGAGUGAGGUCUAUGAAAUACUUAAGUUCUGACAGAUUCAUAAUUAAUGUUUAUGAAAAGUAUCACACAUGUGGUUCGGAGCACAUUACGAGCCGUAAUCCUCACACCACGACAAAGGUCCUCAGUCGAAUUCCAAAAUAGAUUCCCCAAUGGCAAAGGCCCUUCUUCAAGUGAUAUGACCAAUCAACUUCUUACAAAAUUGGGUUUUACGGUCAAUUAUUGGAAGAUAUAUACAACCAUAGGGAUUGCUAAGGACUUGGUUAGAAGGAUACACGAGCACGGGUAUGCAGUCCUCGAUGCCUAUCGUUACAUACUUGAGUCCACAAAUUCUGAAAGUAAGAUGGCAUUGAAUAUUAAUAAAAUGAAAGGUUCAAGUACUUUUUAUAUCCAAUAGUGCUUGAAUUCUUGGUUUUCAACAGUUGAGAAAAGUCAUAUCCAUCGACGGGAAUUUCCUGAGGAGCAAGUAUAGUGGAGUUUUGCUAGUGGCGGUAGCAUAGGAUGUGGAGAGUCAUAUUUUUCUUGUCACUUUUUGUGUAGCAGACAAGGAAUGUGAUGCCUCGUAUGGAUAUUUUUUGAACAAAUGCAAAGUUAUGUUAAAGAUGCCAAAGAGUUGUGUAAUAUUUCGGAUAGGUAUCCAAGUAUCCCAAAGAUGUGUUCAAUUUUCUACACUUUAAUUCACUUUGCAUCUUGGAGAUAAUAUUCGAAACAACUUUCACAAUGAAAGGAUCGUGACUCUUUUUUAUAGAGCAGCUAAAACAUAUGUUGUAGAUGAGUUUUUUGACCAUUUCAAUCAAAUAAGGAAUAUCUCACCUAUGGCAGCACAAUAUCUUGAAUGUGUCGAUUUCAAGAGAUGGAGCCAGACAUUUUAUCCGGUAAAUAGGUAUAUUAUUAUAAAUUUAAGGUCUUGUUUGAGUUACAUAUUUGUAAUACUAUAUGAUAUCGUACUAAGUAAUUUUUUUUAUAUAGGUAUAAUAGUAUGACAUCGGAAAUAGUUGAAUCAGUGACUUCAUUAUUUGGCGUUGAAAGAGAAUUUCUCAUCCUGACACUAUUUGAUGAAAUAAACAAGAAGUAUGCUAAAUUAUUUCACAAAAGGUGUAUGCAGUUCAUGAACAUAAGAAACAAAUUUGAUUUAGAAGUGGAAAAUCA
rnacentral:lncRNA from 1 species